rnacentral:rRNA from 1 species
GUAGGUGGCAAGCGUUGUCCGGAAUUAUUGGGCGUAAAGCGCGCGCAGGCGGUUCCUUAAGUCUGAUGUGAAAGCCCACGGCUCAACCGUGGAGGGUCAUUGGAAACUGGAGAACUUGAGUACAGAAGAGGAAAGCGGAAUUCCACGUGUAGCGGUGAAAUGCGUAGAGAUGUGGAGGAACACCAGUGGCGAAGGCGGCUUUCUGGUCUGUAACUGACGCUGAGGCGCGAAAGCGUGGGGAGCAAACAGGGAUUAGAUACCCUGGUAGUCCACGCCGUAAACGAUGAGUGCUAAGUGUUAGGGGGUUUCCGCCCCCUUAGUGCUGCAGCUAACGCAUUAAGCACUCCGCCUGGGGAGUACGGCCGCAAGGCUA